rnacentral:rRNA from 1 species
GACGAACGCUGGCGGCGUGCCUAAUACAUGCAAGUAGAACGCACAGUUUAUACCGUAGCUUGCUACACCAUAGACUGUGAGUUGCGAACGGGUGAGUAACGCGUAGGUAACCUGCCUGGUAGCGGGGGAUAACUAUUGGAAACGAUAGCUAAUACCGCAUAAUAUUGAUUAUUGCAUGAUAAUUGAUUGAAAGAUGCUAUUGCAUCACUACCAGAUGGACCUGCGUUGUAUUAGCUAGUAGGUGAGGUAACGGCUCACCUAGGCGACGAUACAUAGCCGACCUGAGAGGGUGAUCGGCCACCCUGGGACUGGGACACGGCCCAGACUCCUACGGGAGGCAGCAGUAGGGAAUCUUCGGCAAUGGACGAAAGUCUGACCGAGCAACGCCGCGUGAGUGAAGAAGGUUUUCGGAUCGUAAAGCUCUGUUGUAAGAGAAGAACGGGUGUGAGAGUGGAAAGUUCACACUGUGACGGUAUCUUACCAGAAAGGGACGGCUAACUACGUG